CCCUGCAGUAGUAAUAUCACUGCAAAUUUAAGAUUUCUGUGGGAAAAGCAAGUCUUAUGGCUUGACAGGUGUGUUUAGAUCUCUUAAUGUGUGUAUGAAUAGCUGUUAUUGAGACAAAUAACUAACCUUUCCAAGUCUAUCCAAUUUUCCAGAAAAUAAUGCCGAUGAAAUUACUGCAUCCAACUGGUAAUUAGGUUCCUGUUUAAAAAGAUUAAGAGUAAUAAUGUAGAACAACAACGCAACAAACAUACAACACAAGCAUUCACUAAGUCACACUUGCCUGAUGCUUUCCAAUCAG